rnacentral:rRNA from 1 species
UACGGGGGGGGGCUAGCGUUGUUCGGAAUUACUGGGCGUAAAGGGCGCGUAGGCGGUCUGCUAAGUUGGAUGUGAAAACUCUGGGCUUAACCCAGAGCCUGCAUUCAAUACUGACAGGCUAGAGUUCUGGAGGGGAUAGCGGGAUUCCUGGUGUAGCGGUGAAAUGCGUAGAUAUCUGGAGGAACACCGGUGGCGAAGGCGGCGUUCUGGACUGCAACUGACACUGAGGAACGAAAGCCAGGGGAGCAAACGGG